CCAACGACUCCCUCAUCAAAAGGAAAAAAACUUUUGCCAACGAUGGAUCUUCUUAACCCUAAAUCUCAUGCAUGUACGUUUCUUCUCUCCUAGAGAUUUAUGCUUCUUCUCUCCAUGCCCGUACAUCUCUCUUCCAUGAGACUUACGUGCAGCCGUCGCCAAAAUACAUCUCAUCCAACUCAUCAGCGGAAGUUCAAUAGCAGUUCACGCCAGAUCCCAAAUCCAACUCAUCGGCAUCGGCAAUCGGCAAUGGUUAAUGGUAGAUCGGCGUCGGAAAUCGUCAUUGGUUAACGGCGGAUCGGUAUCGGCAAUCGGCAAUGGUUAACGGCGGAUCGGCAUCGGCAUCGGAAGUGGUUAAUGGUAGAUCGGCAUCGACAGUGGUUAAUGACAGAUCAUGUCAAAUCGGUGGAUGGCAUCCAGCGCUGGAUGCACACAUGCAGCGUGAUGCAAGAUGUAAGACGUAUUCAUGUAAACAUCCCUAAGCAAGAAACUGGUAUGUAUGCAAGAUCAAAGAUUUGAUGCACGGACAUAAUCCACAGUUAGAAACUGGCACGUCCAUAUCUUUGUUUGAUCCAUUUUUUUAUUUGCCGGAGCACAUCACAUAUGUAUUCUUGAUUUAUAUCUUCGAUUCAUGCAUCUUUCUUUAUGAGUUAAUUGUUUCCAUGGCACAGAGACCUAAUAAGAAAACAGGUGUGUUUUGAUCGUGGGUACAGUGUACACUGAUUUUCAACUAUAUAGAGGCUUUGUUAUUGGUUACGUGGAGCAAGCUGCAUGGCGAUUCAUGUGGGAAAGAUAACUUUGAUAAUCAUACGGUGAAUAAUAUAUUAUUUAUUUUCAAUCAGCGAUGGCCUAUCAAGACUGGCCGCGGGGCUGUGUUCAACAUCGACCUUGCCGUGAUGCCCGACACAUCAGCGCCUCCUGCGUACCGCCGGGCAUGGACAUCUCCUCAACAGGUCAAACGGAUUAUAAUAGCAUUAUGCUUCUUAGGUACACGAGAGAUUCAUAAUCAUAUACCCAUUGGUCAGUGUCAAGCCAUCAAAGCUAUCUGAGUCACCAAAAGAAGGUGACGUUCUUCAUCAUAAGCACAAGGACCAAGAGACACAAGAAUCUAUAUGAAAAGAGCGGAGAAGUAUUACGGAGGCGACCAAUGAAUUGAUCUAGCCGGUUUCUCUUGUAUCGUCUUUUCCAGAAUCUUGAAGUUCCUACCAUGGCCAUGGUGUCCAUGGAACACGUGUUGUUGAGUUAGGAUUAGGAGGCGGCAUUCACGCGUGAUAUUGUAGUCUGACGUGAUUGCUGGCCGAGACUAGGAAUCCAUCUUAUAUUUGGUUUUAGGUGAGAUACGACGGUGGAGAGCGGUUAGUGGGCUUUCUGUGUUCAAGUUCAUCACCAGUGAAUCUUUCUCAUUCUUAGGGUAUAUAUAUUUUUUCUUGAAACAGAGUCGGACUGUUCACUUCCUAGAAUUACCUGCACUGUUCCGCAGUAAUUUGUCAAUUAUUUGCGCAAAGUUAAUCACUUCUUGAAUUCAUAUUGUAUCAUCAUUCAA